GCGGAGGAAAAGAAAAUAACAAUGAUUUCCCUAGUAACGGCGAGUGAAGAGGAAAGAGCUCAAAGUUGGAAACUGUUUGGCUUAGCUAAACCGUAUUGUAAACUGUAGAAACAUUUUCCUGGCACACCAGAUUAAUAAGUCCUUUGGAACAAGGCAUCAUGGAGGGUGAGAAUCCCGUCUUUGAUCUGAGUAGUUGUCUUUUGUGAUAUGUUUUCAAAGAGUCAGGUUGUUUGGGAAUGCAGCCUAAAUUGGGUGGUAAAUCUCACCUAAAGCUAAAUAUUUGCGAGAGACCGAUAGCGAACAAGUACCGUGAGGGAAAGAUGAAAAGAACUUUGAAAAGAGAGUUAAACAGUAUGUGAAAUUGUUAAAAGGGAACCGUUUGGAGCCAGACUGGUUUGCCUGUAAUCAACCUAGAAUUCGUUUUGGGUGCACUUGCAGGCUAUACCUGCCAACAACAGUUUGAUUUGGAGGAAAAAAUUAAUAGGAAUGUAGCCUCUCGAGGUGUUAUAGCCUAUUAUCAUACUCUGGAUUGGACUGAGGAACGCAGCGAAUGCCUUUAGGCGAGAUUGCUGGGUGCUUUCGCUAAUAAAUGUUAGAAUUUCUGCUUCGGGUGGUGCUAAUGUUUAAAGGAGGAACACAUCUAGUAUAUUUUUUAUUCGCUUAGGUUGUUGGCUUAAUGACUCUAAUGAC
rnacentral:rRNA from 2 species